rnacentral:rRNA from 1 species
AUUGAACGCUGGCGGCAUGCUUUACACAUGCAAGUCGUUCGGCAGCCCGGGCUUGGGCCUUGUAGCGAGGGGCGAACGGGUAAUUAAUCGUUCGGAACUUGCCCUGCAGUCAGGGAUAACACGGCGAAACCCCUGUUAACACCUCAUACUGUCUGGCGGGCGAAGCCCGGGCCCGUAAAGCCGGACGCUAUAGGAGAGCCUUGCGUCCGAUUAGCUAGUUGGUGGGGUAAAGGCCUACCAAGGCGAUGAUAGGUAGCCGGCCUGAGAGGGCGAACGGCCACGAGGCGACUGAGAGACGGCCGUGACGCAUACUGGAGGCAGCAGUGGAGAAUAUUGGACCAAGGGGGCAAGCGUGAUGCAGCAAUUCGGUGUGUACGAAGAAGGUUUUCGGAUAGAAAAGUGCUGGCCGAAGAGAAGAAGAAAGUGACGGUACCGGAAGAAGAAGCGACGGCUAAAUACGUG